CUGAUCUAAAUUACCAGCUUGCCACCGCUGCAUGAAUUUCUCGGGUGAUGAGCAAAAACGCCAAAACGAAAAAGUGCGAAAGGACUUUUAUAAAAUGGUGUAGCAAACCCGGCACCGACUCCGAUCACUAAGUUUUCUUCAUGGACGGUAGAUAAAGUUUCUUAAUUCAGAGCGACGGAACGAAACUGGGAAACUUGGAUGGAUGAUAUGGAAUUAAAAAGUCGACGUCAGCUACGUAUACUCUAUGGAAAAGCUGCGGCGGUUUCAAAAUUCUACUACGAUCCACUGGGCGCUUCGACGAUAUUCUUGAGCAAAGUAGAAUUUUAGCCUGGCCAUGGCCACUACAUGCACAUAUUGUCUGUCAAAUUUGCCGCAAUUUUCAAUGGCGCCUACAAAAUGAGUGACAAGAUUUACUAAGUAACAUGUAUAUAUAUACUAUUAUAUAGAAAAGUGAUGCAGUUGCCAUGAUAGCCUACUUUGCAAUAUGUCGGGAUAAGCUAUAACUUUUUAAAAAAGUCCUAAGACAAAAACUGAUUUUAAUCUCAGUAUCAGAAACUACUAGCUAU